rnacentral:rRNA from 1 species
GACGAACGCUGGCGGCGUGCCUAACACAUGCAAGUUGAGCGGAGAUAUAUGGAGCUUGCUUUAUAUAACUUAGCAGCGAACGGGUGAGUAACACGUAGAUAAUCUAUCCUAUACUGGGGGAUAGCCCGAUGAAAGUUGGAUUAAUACCGCAUAUAGCUAUAUAGUUGCAUGAUUAUGUAGUGAAAGAUUUAUUGGUAUAGGAGGAGUCUGCGGCACAUUAGCUAGUAGGUGAGGUAAAGGCUUACCUAGGCGACGAUGUGUAGCCGGUCUGAGAGGAUGAACGGCCACAAUGGAACUGAGACACGGUCCAUACUCCUACGGGAGGCAGCAGUGGGGAAUAUUGCACAAUGGGGGAAACCCUGAUGCAGCAACGCCGCGUGAGUGAAGAAGGUUUUCGGAUUGUAAAGCUCUGUUAGCAGGGAGGAGGAAGGACGGUACCUGCAGAGGAAGCCACGGCUAACUACGUGCCAGCAGCCGCGGUAAUACGUAGGUGGCAAGCGUUGUUCGGAAUAACUGGGCGUAAAGGAUGCGUAGGCGGUUAAACAAGUUAUAUGUUAAAUAUAUAGGCUUAACCUGUAGAAAGCAUAUAAAACUGUUUAACUAGAGUGCAGGAGAGGUAAGUGGAAUUCCUAGUGUAGCGGUGAAAUGCGUAGAGAUUAGGAAGAACACCAGUGGCGAAGGCGACUUACUGGACUGUAACUGACGCUGAGGCAUGAGAGCAUGGGGAGCAAACAAAAUUAGAUACCCUGGUAGUCCAUGCUGUAAACGAUGGGUACUAGGUGUGGGUUGUGAAUAACAAUUCGUGCCGUCGCAAACGCAAUAAGUACCCCGCCUGAGGAGUACGAUCGCAAGAUUAAAACUCAAAGGAAUUGACGGGGACCCGCACAAGCAGCGGAGCAUGUGGUUUAAUUCGAAGCAACGCGAAGAACCUUACCUAAACUUGACAUACCUUGAAUUACCUUGUAAUGAGGGAAGCUCGCAAGAGCAAGGAUACAGGUGGUGCAUGGUUGUCGUCAGCUCGUGUCGUGAGAUGUUGGGUUAAGUCCCGCAACGAGCGCAACCCUUGUUGUUAAUUGCUAACAGGUUAAGCUGAGCACUUUAGCGAGACAGCCUAGGUUAACUAGGAGGAAGGUGGGGAUGACGUCAAAUCAUCAUGCCCCUUACGUUUAGGGCUACACACGUGCUACAAUGGUGAGAACAGAGAGAAGCAAGCUAGUGAUAGUGAGCAAAACUUAUAAAACUCAUCUCAGUUCGGAUUGCAGGCUGAAACUCGCCUGUAUGAAGAUGGAGUUGCUAGUAAUCGCGAAUCAGAAUGUCGCGGUGAAUACGUUCCCGGGUCUUGUACACACCGCCCGUCACACCAUGAGAGUUGGCAACACCCGAAACCUGUGGGCUAACCA